CUUGAAACCGAUUCAAAAAUUCAAGGUUACAACUAAAAUGUCUUCAAGUUCAUCCUUUGAAGUGCAUAACAGAUGGAGAAAUUUGGAUGCCGGAUCGUCCAGCUCAGCUACAAAUCGAUCUUCAAGGAAGGGGGCCUAUGGAAGUUCACAUUUUGGAGGAUCUAGCCCAGGAAAAGCUGAAUACUACAAUGGAGACGAAAUCGUGAAGUGCCAUUGCCAAGAAUCCUGCAGAAUAGUGUCUUCUUGGACUGCAGCAAAUCCGUCAAGAAGGUUCCAUGGAUGUCGAAAUUACGGU
rnacentral:lncRNA from 1 species